AAAAUCUUGCAUGCGAAACAUGAUUUCAACGUGAGUUUUCUUUAUAAAUGUUUUAUUGACCACUACUAGGGCAUCGAGGCAUGUGAGGCAUGCUUAUGUGAUAUGUUUGGCAUGCGGGUGUUACUUCCUGGGUGAUUGCAAAGGUAGAUAGGGGAUGGGCCUUUGGUGAUCACGGGAGGGCGGACCACUCGACUAUGCCCUUGUUAUGAUUAUUGGCGCUGUCGGGUGGGAGACUUCUUGGGUGAUCAUAGGGAUAGUUAGGGGAUGGGCCUCUAGUGGUCACGAGAGGAUGGUCCACUCGCCGGUGUCGAUUUCAUAUUGGCCACUUGAUUAUUAAUAUUGAUAUUAGGCAGAGCUCUAUCCGGUGCAUAGUAGGUGGGUCAAGAGCCUAAUGAAAUGAAAGAUUUCAAGUGAAAUGAUUUCUAGUCGACUUUGACGAAUAUUGACAUAUGAUACUUUUUAUCAUGAUAUUUAAAGUAAAUGGCAUGGUGUCAUAUGUCGUUAUUACUCAUGUUCAGGACAUGCAUGAUUUUGCUUACUAAGCAUUAGCUUAUGUAGUUCUUGCAUUGUAGGUGAACAUGGAACUACAUAGAGAGCAUGGCUAGCUGUGGAGCUCCUACAGGAUUCCAGAGUUCGAUGUACAUGGAUGACGACCUGUAGGGUUAUUUUGUAGGCUGCCAUCUGUAGGGUUAUAUUUUGGAAUCCUAUAUAGUAUACUUUUGAAAUGGCCUGUAGACAUGUUUAUAAGCUCAGAAUAUAUAUGUUGGAUUAUGGCGAUAUGAUUUUGGAUUUCGAUAUGUUAUAUGAUCGUGUCACAGGUGAUUAGAAGUUAACAAACUCAAAAAAAAAAAAUAUGUAAAAUUCUAUAUCUAGGUUGUGUAUAGAUAUCAAUGUUAAUUUGGAAGUGUGACACAAGGGAAUAAUAUUUGUAAGUAAUAGAUACUGAUACGAGCAUUGG
rnacentral:lncRNA from 1 species